UGGUAAUUCCAGAGCUAAUACAUGCAAACAACAUGAAUCAUUCAUAGCAAUACGGGUUGAGACAUGUGCUUUUAUUAGACUUUAAAACCAAUAUCUGCACCUCGGUGUAGGUUUGUUUUAGAUGAAUCUGGAUAAUUAUGGCUGAUCGUACGGUCUUAGCACCGACGAUAGAUCAUUCAAAUGUCUGCCCUAUCAACUAUUGAUGGUAGUAUAGUGGACUACCAUGGUUGCAACGGGUAACGGGGAAUCAGGGUUCGAUUCCGGAGAGGGAGCCUGAGAAACGGCUACCACAUCUAAGGAAGGCAGCAGGCGCGUAAAUUACCCAAUCCCGGCACGGGGAGGUAGUGACGAAAAAUAACAAUACAGGA
rnacentral:rRNA from 1 species